GACAGCAGCUGUCCUACAGGAAGAUGGCUAUUAAGGGAAGACCAAAGUGUCAUUAGGAGACUGCUGGCAUUGUGGAUUGAGCUGCCUGCUGAGCCCUGAGGCCUUCUGGUUGCAGAGAGAGAGCUGCUGGGGGCCUUGGCAGUGAGGCCCCCGAGGC
ensembl:misc_RNA